rnacentral:rRNA from 1 species
CAAGUCGAACGGAAAGGCCCGCUUGCGGGUACUCGAGUGGCGAACGGGUGAGUAACACGUGGGUGAUCUGCCCUGGACUCUGGGAUAAGCCUGGGAAACUGGGUCUAAUACCGGAUAUGACCUUACAUCGCAUGGUGUUUGGUGGAAAGCUUUUGCGGUUCAGGAUGGGCCCGCGGCCUAUCAGCUUGUUGGUGGGGUAAUGGCCUACCAAGGCGACGACGGGUAGCCGACCUGAGAGGGUGAUCGGCCACACUGGGACUGAGACACGGCCCAGACUCCUACGGGAGGCAGCAGUGGGGAAUAUUGCACAAUGGGCGCAAGCCUGAUGCAGCGACGCCGCGUGAGGGAUGACGGCCUUCGGGUUGUAAACCUCUUUCACCAGGGACGAAGCGCAAGUGACGGUACCUGGAGAAGAAGCACCGGCCAACUACGUGCCAGCAGCCGCGGUAAUACGUAGGGUGCGAGCGUUGUCCGGAAUUACUGGGCGUAAAGAGCUCGUAGGCGGUUUGUCGCGUCGUCUGUGAAAUUCUGCAACUCAAUUGUAGGCGUGCAGGCGAUACGGGCAGACUUGAGUACUACAGGGGAGACUGGAAUUCCUGGUGUAGCGGUGAAAUGCGCAGAUAUCAGGAGGAACACCGGUGGCGAAGGCGGGUCUCUGGGUAGUAACUGACGCUGAGGAGCGAAAGCGUGGGUAGCGAACAGGAUUAGAUACCCUGGUAGUCCACGCCGUAAACGGUGGGUACUAGGUGUGGGGCUCAUUUCACGAGUUCCGUGCCGUAGCUAACGCAUUAAGUACCCCGCCUGGGGAGUACGGCCGCAAGGCUAAACUCAAAGGAAUUGACGGGGGCCCGCACAAGCGGCGGAGCAUGUGGAUUAAUUCGAUGCAACGCGAAGAACCUUACCUGGGUUUGACAUACACCAGAAAGCUGUAGAGAUAUAG